rnacentral:lncRNA from 1 species
AACUUUUGUAUGGCAAUUUACAACUAAUGGUUUUGUCCUUCUAUUAGAGUUCUAAGCUAAUGGAUAUGGACUGUUAUUUUUCUGAAACUUUUUUGUCGGCUAAUUGAUGAAUUUCUCAAUGAUAUUUAAUUAUUAUCAUUAUUCUGCUAUACUCUUUACUUUCCUUGUUAUCAUACUAAACCUUACUUUGCAUCUUAAAAUUUAGUUGCACUGUUUGAUAUGUCAUGGCAAUUGGGGACAAAUAAUACUAAUGAGAUAGCUUUUACCAGAACUCGAUCACAGCAGCUAUGAAGCUUUGCUUGGGAGAACGGAGGAUGUGGGUUGCCUGUGGAGGAUGUGGGUUGCCUGUGGAGGCCAUUAAUGAACUCCAGUAAAGGGAAUACGUCUUGAGAAAUCACUGUUGAUCUUUAAUCAUGCUAUUUUGUGUCGCUUGUACGAGAAAAGCAUUUACGUCCAUGUUUUCGUUUUUCCAUUUUCCUGUUUCUCCAACAGAGAUGAUAUAAUAGGUUGAGUAAUAGUCAGUCUCACGGAUAAAUUAUGUCAAUACUUGUGGUUGUACCUGUAAUAAGAGUGAUUAUUUUUCUAUUAUGUGAUGACACAACAGAUUUCUCUAUGUCCUUCUCUUCAUCUAGUAUUUGACAAUAGAUCAAAAGUUUUAUCUGGGAUCUCAAUAUGAUUGUAUGAGAUUUUAUAGUGAUGGUCUAGGCGUAAAAUGACCAAAAUAGUUGGGUUUUGUCAUUGUUGAUUAUUAUAUUACAAUGAAAUUAUUAAAUAACAAAUAAAGUGUUGGGAUAGCGGGAAUUUGUUAUUUAGCUUCAAAAUGAUUAGUGGCAAC